GUGAGGAAAAAGUUGCUUAGCAUAUGUAUACUCACUGUGGUUUCAACCUUACAAAAAAAUCACCGAACAUUUACAAAUAAAAGGAAAGAAUUUUUUCAUGGAAAAUCAAGCAGGUUGGCAUAUAUAGAGUUGAUAUAAAUUCAUGAAACUCUGGACCAGCUCCAUAAUUUGGAGAGACCAGUACUAAAUAAAAGUGGGAGACAUCUUCAACAGUGAAAAUGUUUUUGACAGUGAUGGCAGAAUUAGGCACCCAAGAAGCUCUUCUGAAUGUGGAAGCCUGUGCGACUGCACAGUCCUAUCCUUGAAGUUGGCCCUGAUGGAUAUCCUGGAAGGGAACGGAAGGAAAAUAAAGUGAACGUCUUGCAAAUCGCUCAAAAGAUGGCAAUGAAGUGUGUUUUUUAUCAGAUUACUAUGGAAGAAUGGGAUGCAACCGAGAUGUUGCAGAAACUAUAGGCUCUCAGGUAAAGCCAAAAUGCAGGACAAGGUGGACCAAUCAGUACCAUAUACUCUGAAAUCUUUCUCAGGAUGUAACCCUGCAGGAGCACUGCCUGGAAAUAAAAAAGAUGAGCUGUGUAUUAAGUUCUGUUGAGUGCCUAUGGAACCUUAAAAAAGGCUGCUAAGUCCUUGAUUUCAGCUUUCUCAUCUGUAAAACAUGAAGAUAUUUUCAUAUGUCUUCCCAUACCAACAUUCAGGUCUCAAUCCUGUCUCCAAGACAGCUGAAUGCUGAUGAUCCAGAGAAAUACUCACAUAUUUCACACACCUUGGUGCUUGUUCACUUCUAUAGGGGUUACUCACUGGUUAUCUGGGAGGAGGAAUAAAUGAUGCAUCCUCGAGAAGUCCUUAAUUAGGAAGAAGAAACCAUCCUUCCUUACUGACAUCUUUGGCACAGCUCUUCACAGUUAAAAACAGAACGUACAGGCAGACAGCAGGCUGUCCUGAGGGCCUCUCAAGAUAAGAAGUCCUGUGAUUCUGAACGUGUGUCAGUUAAUCGCCUAGGAUGUCACACCACUGGAAAGGUAAGCAGCUGUCCUCUGCCAGCCUUUUUCACUCUGCCAUUUCUUCCCUGGUGCCAAUUGACUUUUGGACUGAAUCUGCUGGAGCCAUGGACCAAGACGAACUCCUCCUUUAAAUUUCAGAUCUGCAUUUUCCAGUAAACUAUUAAAAGAUACUCCAAAUAAUAUUAUCAAGUAUUGGCUUCUCCUUCAUCAAAGACAUAGUUGAGCUUUAUGACUGUGC